GAUGAACGCUAGCGGCAGGCUUAAUACAUGCAAGUCGAGGGGCAGCAUGAAGUAGCAAUACUUUGAUGGCGACCGGCAAACGGGUGCGGAACACGUACACAACCUCCCUUUAAGUGGGGAAUAGCCCAGAGAAAUUUGGAUUAAUACCCCGUAACACAACGAAGUGGCAUCACUUUGUUGUUAUAGUUUCGACGCUUAAUGAUGGGUGUGCGUAUGAUUAGAUAGUUGGCGAGGUAUCGGCUCACCAAGUCUACGAUCAUUAGCUGAUGUGAGAGCAUGAUCAGCCCCACGGGCACUGGGACACGGGCCCGACUCCUACGGGAGGCAGCAGUAAGGAAUAUUGGUCAAUGGACGCAAGUUUGAACCAGCCAUGCCGCGUGAAGGAUUAAGGUCCUCUGGAUUGUAAACUUCUUUUAUAUGGGACGAAAAAAGGUCUUUCUAGACCCCUUGACGGUACCAUAUGAAUAAGCACCGGCUAACUCCGUGCCAGCCGCCGCGGUAAGAC
rnacentral:rRNA from 1 species